rnacentral:rRNA from 1 species
CCUACGGGAGGCAGCAGUAGGGAAUCUUCGGCAAUGGACGAAAGUCUGACCGAGCAAAGUCGCGUGAGGGAUGACUGCCCUAUGAGUUGUAAACUUCGUUUAUAGAGAAGUACAACGAGGCACGUAUCCCUUUUUGCAUUUACUGUAUGAAUAAGGAUAGGCUAGCUCCAUGCCAGCAGCCGCGGUAAUACGGAGUGUACGAGCGUUAUCCGGAUUUAUUGGGUUUAAAGGGAGCGGAGAUGGGUUGUUAAGUCAGUUGUGAAAGUGUGCGGCUCAACCGGAAAAUUGCAAUUGAUACUGGCAGUCUUGAGUACAGAUGAGGGAAGCGGAAUUCGAGGUGUAGCGGUGAAAUGCGUAGAUAUAACGAAGAACACCGAUUGCGAAGGCAGCUCACUAAACUGUGACUGACAGUGAGGCUCGAAAGUGUGGGUAUCAAACAGGAUUAGAUACCCGAGUAGUC